AUUGAACGCUGGCAGCAGGCUUAACACAUGCAAGUCGAGCGGGGGAGGUUACUUCGGUAACUGACCUAGCGGCAGACGGGUGAGUAAUACAUGGGAAUCUGCCUUGUAGUAUAGGAUAACUUUUAGAAAUGAAAGCUAAUACUGUAUAUUGCCGAAAUGUGAAAGAUUUAUCGCUACAAGAUGAGCCAAUGCGGGAUUAGCUAGUUGGUAGGGUAAUGGCCUACCAAGGCAAUGAUCUCUAGUUGGUCUGAGAGGAUGAUCAGCCACACUGGAACUGAGACACGGUCCAGACUCCUACGGGAGGCAGCAGUGGGGAAUAUUGGACAAUGGGCGAAAGCCUGAUCCAGCAACGCCGCGUGAGUGCUAAGGCCUUCGGGUUGUAAAGCUCUUUUAGUAGGAAAGAUUAUGACGGUACCUACAGAAAAAGCCCCGGCUAACUUCGUGCCAGCCGCCGCGGUAA
rnacentral:rRNA from 1 species